UAGGGAAUCUUCCACAAUGGGCGAAAGCCUGAUGGAGCAACGCCGCGUGUGUGAUGAAGGGUUUCGGCUCGUAAACACUGUUGUAAGAGAAGAAUGACAUUGAGAGUAACUGUUCAAUGUGUGACGGUAUCUUACCAGAAAGGGACGGCUAAAUACGUGCCAG
rnacentral:rRNA from 1 species